CCUGGCCUAAACCCAUUAGUUAAAAAUCAACUCAUAACUUAGAAACCGAUGUUAUUCAUAGAUUCCCGACAUUGUAUAAAAGAACAUUGUGAAACGCCCUACCCUGUUCUGUUUCUUUCUGACCACCGGUGCAUGCAGCCCCUGUCAUGUACCCCCUGCUUGCUCAAAUCAAUCACGACCCUUUCAUGUGAAAUCUUCAGUGUUGUGAGCCCUUAAAAGGGACAGAAAUUGUGCACUCAGGGAGCUCAGAUUUUGAGGCAGUAGCUUGCUGAUGCUCCCAGCUGAAUAAAGCCCUUCCUUCUACGACUCGUUGUCUGAGAGGUUUUGUCUGUGGCUCGUCCUGCUACAUUUCUUGGUUCCCUGACAGGGAAACGAGGUGACUGAUGGAUGGCCGAGGCAGCCCCUUAGGCAGCUUAGGCCUGCCCCGCGGAGCAUCCCUGCAGGGGACUCCGGCCAGCCUGAGUGACGCGAUCCAAAGAGCGCUCCCGGUUAGGAAAUUGCCCCCAUUGGAACGCCUUGCCAGAGCAGCACGUAGCAGGCCCCCGUGGAGGAUCCACACAGUGGCUGAACACUGGGAAGGAACUGGCGCUUGGAGUCUGGACAUCUAAAAGUUGCUCCAUUGGGUUAGAGUCUCCCCGAGCGAGCUGGUCUCGGCAAGUGGCGUCCAUUCGUGGAGGCUCGAAUCCAGGUCAAAGGGUUGCUGGAGCGACGGUUGGAAUGGAAAACUAGCUGGAAGACACCCAAGUACUCUUAAAGCAAUCCCCGUGUUCUGGAGGCUGGGAAGUCCAAGGUCAAGAUGCUGACAAAUGAUGAGAGCUUUCUUGCUGCAUCCUCACAUGGAAGAAGGUGGAAGGGCAAGAGAGAAGAAACUAAUGCUAGGAAAUGCCUCUUUUAAAAGGGACUUAGUCCCAUUAACAAAGAAGCAGGUCUUAUGGCCUAAUCAUCUCAUAAAAGCACCACCUCUUAAUACUA
rnacentral:lncRNA from 1 species